rnacentral:rRNA from 1 species
AUGGACGCACGGAAUAUGAAGAACAAGGGUGUUAGCUUACUUGCAAAGUGGAAAAAGGUUUCAAAAGAAAAGAAAAAACUUCUGCAUCCACCGCAAGAGCGUCUAAAGAGCUUCGCCCAAAGGCUAGCUGAGGGCACAAAGGGUGGCAUUUUGCUGCUUUGGAACGACUCCGCGGUCACGGUGAGAAAUGUGCCAAUUGGUGUCUUUUUCCUCUCUGCGACGAUUGCCAUCAACAACUAUGACGAUGAAAAAUCUUUUAAGCUAACCUCAGUCUAUGGCCCAACCCGUAGCAUUCACAAGAAGGCUUUCUACCUUGAGCUGAUUUCGGAAAAGCCUCCACCUGGAACCAAAUGGCUUGUCAAUGGUGAUUUUAAUCAAAUCUACCGUGCAAGGGACAAAAACCGAACCAAUGUGGACCGUGGUUGUCUUGUGCCUUUUUGCAACGCCGUGAACAAUUGUGUGCUCAAGGAGAUACACAUGCAAAAUAGGAAAUUUACUUGGAGCAACGAGCAAAUUUGCCACCCACAUUCUGCAUGCCCUCUCCUCAUCGCUUUCGGAUCAUUGCCCCCUUCUGGACGAAAGAAGCCUAAAUCUUUCCAGUUUGAAAACUUCUGGACAAAGAUGCGGGGAUUCCAACGAGUCUUCACUGAGGCAUGGAAUGAGAAUUCCGAUCACAUCGAGCCUUACCAGCGGAUUUUCCACAAGCUAAAGAGAACAGAACAAAAGUUGCGCUCCAGGAGCAAGACCCUUGUUUCUAACUCCAGAAAACGACAAAACUCGAGGAUUACAAAUCUUAAAGAAGGAGAUGCCAACACGCGCUACUUCCACCUCCGUGUCAAUCACCGCAGGAUAAAAACCUUAUUCAUCUCCUCAAGCACAAUCAGGGUUGGAUGCUUGCAUCGUAACAAGACCGCGGUUCUCCUGUUCAAGCUCGGCAUCAAGAAAAAGUUUGAUUCGAUGUGUUGGGACUACCUCCUGGACUUGCUGAAUCAUCUAGGCGGACGUCAGUUCUUUGCCGACACCCUCAGGAACUUUGGAGAAAAUUCUGGAUUGGUAACAAAUUACUCCAAGAGCUUGGUGGCCAACAUUAGAUGUGAAAAUAUGGAUCUUCUGGAUAUUCUCCAAUCUUUCUCGGCACAACGAACCACCUUCCGGAUGAAGUACCUUGGCUUACCUCUAUUAGGGAAGCGCCCGGAAAGAAUUCACUUUCUGCCUCUCGAGGACAAGAUCGUGGCCCAGCUCCCUCCUUGGAUGGGAAAGCAGGUUGCCGCCCCUAGAAGGAUGGUUCUUAUUAAGUAUGUCAUCACUGCCAUCGCCAUCUAUUAUAUGACGGCCCUAAAUCUUCCGGUGGAAGUUUUGAAAAAGAUUGAUGCUCUUCGACGUGCCUAUCUUUGGGCUGGCUGUGACAAGGUCGCGAGAGGGAAAUGUAAGGUCAAAUGGGAGCAAGUUUGCAACAAAACCUUCAUCAAGCCUUGGUCGGGCUUGGGCACCCGUUGCGACAAGAAUGUUCGGAGCAUCUUCGCAUCGGCCUCCAAUGUUCAGGUGGGUGAUGGCCUCCAUGCAACUUUCUGGGAGUCAGCUUGGCUGUAUGGCAUAAGACCCAAAAACAUUGCUCCCAAAAUUUUUGACAUCUCCAACAAAAAGAAUUGUUCAGUCAAUAAGGCAUUGCUAAACGACUACUGGAUCUCCCAGGUGAAGGUUGCUUCGGUCAUCUCCUCUGAGCACAUUGCCCAAAGCGAAACGCUGGAGCUUUUCACAACACGGCCGUCUCGGUGGGAGUGUUGGUCGCCAGGAUAA